GCCUAAAGGAAAGAAGAGAGGCUUUCACUAUGCUCCAAAGAAGAUUCCUCCUCCGCCACAAUUGCCACUUCGAUCGUGCAAGCCCCGCCACAGCAUUGCUCAGCCACAAGACUCGAGGCAGAUGUACAGAUCAAC